GGAAUCACCUGACUCCCAGCAGCAGAGGGGGGAGGAGGAGUCACGAGGAGGGCCGCCCGGCCGCGCCUCUCGCCGUGCUCCGUCUCUCUGCCCGGGGCCCAGCCCGUACGCACCUUGGUCCUGCCCUGCACGCACAGUGCUCCUCAGUUUCUCUACCUUCUUCCGAGCUCUCGAGAGCACCACAAGGGGAGAUGCUCUGCUUUGGAGGAAGAACCGAUUGUCCUCCUCCUCCAAUUUGUACUCGCCGAACCCGAUACUUAUUGAUGCCUGUGACGUCCUGAGUAUCUAACAAGGGGCUUGAAACUGGAACCGACUUGGACCUGCCUGCCCUCACAACUGCUUGAAGAUUUAAGAGAUCGGACCUCUGCGGAAAUCCUUUCUCUCCUGUUUUGGAAUGGCUAUCAACAUGGCAAGUGCAGUGAUCAGUGAGGGCAUAAACUCCUCCUGAAGCACCCACAAGAAACCUGAGUGGAUCAAAAAUGGAACUGGCAAGGGAACCUAAAGAAAUAAAACGCAAAGGAUCAGACAUGAUGAGAAACAUCAGAUACAAAUCUUUCCAAUCUAAGGUAAAAGUUUGGAACAGAGCUUCUCCAAUUGUCCUUUUGAACAAUAUGUCACAGAAAGAUUAAAGAUGGAUAGAGGUGUACCUUUUUUUGAAAAGCCAAAGAAGAGAAACAAUGAGAGCAAAAUUGAAAGGAGAAUUGAAAGGAAUCUAGAGAAGAAGAAAGCAUUUAAGAAGCAAUACCUGUGGAGGCUGAGGAUCUGGAAACUGGCUCCUUCAAAGCCAUCAGUUGCAGGAUGACUGGCAUAUUCCACACACCCUCCCCAGGCACACGCAGAGCUAGGUGGAAUUCCUGGCCACCCAUCUACAACUCUAUCUCUUACAUAAGAAAGCACAUGGGACUGCAAGUUAGCAAGAAGAACGUCUUUGAAUCUGCUCCAAGUUAUACAAAUGUAAAUUAUUCAUAAAUUUCAGCGCUUUUAUUAGAAGGAACAGUUAGCAGUGAUCCAGUGUACAACUAAGGACAGAAUGUUAAUUGACCAGGACAUGGGACAACUCAAGAGGCUGUUCAUGAGCAAACCAUCACAAGGUCCUAAAAAGAAAAUCUUAUUUCCUCAUUAAGGAGAGGACCCCACUAGCCAGAAAACCUCUGUCAUCACCUAGACCCUGAGCAUUGGUCACACUUUUGAAAUGCAAAUCAGGGUCUAUGGUAUAAAGUCCAAGUUCAUUAACAAGGUUCACAAAGGCUUCCUGACCUGAGACCUAUUUUUCCACUUUCAGUUCUUGCCAUUCCCUGCAAUACACCCUAUAUUCCAGCCUACUGAGCCCUGAGCAGUUCCAGCUCCCACUUUCCACUAAGCCUCUUCAUAAGCUUCUCCCUCUGUUAGAACAUCUUCCCUUCCCAGUUUGUUCUCCUGGAGAAGUCUGAGUACCCCUCUGACCUUUACACCUCCUCUGCAAAGCCUUAGUGGGCAUCUAUCUCAUACCUGGUGCUGUGCUAGGCCCGGCAGAAAGAAAGCAGGCAUGGUAGAAUUAAAUGCCCCUCUUAGGCCCCUCAGCAGCCUCUGCUCAUGUCUGAAGUAUAUUCUUUGUAUUAUAACUGUCACGAGAUGUGAACAUCCCAAAACAGGACUUUUGUCUUACUUAUCUUUGAAUCCCAAUUAUCCCAGUCAAUGGAAUCCAUCAAUAAAUAUCUGUCAGCUUCA